rnacentral:rRNA from 1 species
GAUGAACGCUGGCGGCGUGCCUAAUACAUGCAAGUCGAGCGAACGGACGAGAAGCUUGCUUCUCUGAUGUUAGCGGCGGGCGGGUGAGUAACACGUGGAUAACCUACCUAUAAGACUGGGAUAACUUCGGGAAACCGGAGCUAAUACCGGAUAAUAUUUUGAACCGCAUGGUUCAAAAGUGAAAGACGGUCUUGCUGUCACUUAUAGAUGGAUCCGCGCUGCAUUAGCUAGUUGGUAAGGUAACGGCUUACCAAGGCAACGAUGUAUAGCCGACCUGAGAGGGUGAUCGGCCACACUGGAACUGAGACACGGUCCAGACUCCUACGGGAGGCAGCAGUAGGGAAUCUUCCGCAAUGGGCGAAAGCCUGACGGAGCAACGCCGCGUGAGUGAUGGAGGUCUUCGGAUCGUAAAACUCUGUUAUUAGGGAAGAACAUAUGUGUAAGUAACUGUGCACAUCUUGACGGUACCUAAUCAGAAAGCCACGGCUAACUACGU